rfam:Eutrema salsugineum unplaced genomic scaffold scaffold_4, whole genome shotgun sequence.
AAUCCAUGGUGUGGACAAUCUCUUUGGUAUUCUCUAAAUCUUCCCCAAGCAUCGUAAAGAUCUUCGUCUUUCUUUUGUUCGAAAGUUUGUAUCUUGUUCCUUAAGAGAUU